AACCCUACCUGCGGCGCUGAUUCACGUCGGUUUCUCAUCUCCAUCUCAAACAGCUUUCUCCCCGUCGUUCUUUUCUGAUCCCACCACACAAACCCUAAUUUCCUUCAAUCAACUUCCUCCCUGUCGUUCUUCUCUACCUAUCCAUUACGUUUGGGAGUUAAUUAGUGGUAAGGGAGGACUUGCAAAUCGUGAAUGAGAUCUGCCUCUAAACGAAGGGCAUUGGAAUUACAUCAAUAUCAAGGCUAAUAAAACCCUUGGAUUUUAUGGAUUUUGAUCUCAUUUUUUGCCAUUGUCAAGCAAAACAAAGGUCCAGUGCGAGUUAGGUAUGUGAAAAUUUACUCAUAAAAUUAAGCAUCAAUUUGUUAUUAGAGAAGGCUUGCAUUUUGCUUUAUUUCAUUUAUGGAAACAAGCUUUGUGAUGACAAAGUUCCUGAUCGAAUUCACCGUACAUAUACUAUUUGGUAAUUUCAACCCAUUUUGAUAUGUUAUAUGUCCAGACUAUCACUUCUGAUCUUAGACUAAAUAUAUAUCAAACCGGUUGAAACAAUGUGUUGAACCGGCAAGAAAGGAAUCAAGGUUUUUCCUUUUAACUAAUUGAUUUUGGGCUUUAUGUGUUCUUCAAACCAGGUAUUUUAAUAUGUACCUUUUAUCCCAUAUGUUUACAUUUGCUUUUAAACUGAUUAUUAUUGAGACUUUAAGAAUCAUAAAUUGAUAGCUGGGUGUUUAAUGGAACAAAGCAGGUGACAAAAAAUGAAGAAAGAAAGUAGGGUCACUUUGAAAAUGGAAAAGUCAACAUGAAAUUCAAGUUCAACUAUGGACCAUGGUAUGAUAUAUUAAUUUAAAAUCCAAGUUCAGUCAUGUUAUAUUAAUUUAAAAUCUGUUGAAUCAUUUUCUUCAAGUCUUGGUAUGGAUCCAUGGAAAUUCAAAAGUGAAUUGAAUUUUGGAAAUAAAAAAAUAAAGAUGGGAGAGACUAAAGAAAGAGAUAUCAGUUGUAUGAAAAAAAAUGAGGUAUUGGUUUGUAUUUAUAAAUAAAAGUGGUGGCGGUUUGGUAUAGGCUGGCACCUAAGAAUCGGUAUCCGGCUGCGUGAAAGUGUUGCAUUAGUGCAUUGGCUGGCGAAACCGGCAAAUUUGGCGGAGUUGGGGAGGAAGGUUGAAUUGCAAUGAUGGUAAACUACUUGUGGUUUGAUCAAGAUCUACCUACAGAUGCUCAGUUUUCUACAAAUAAUGUUAUUAUCAAACACUAGAAUUCAAAGGCAACAAGUUAAAGAUUCUGUGUUUUUACUUGCAACUCCAGCUGCGCGAGUUGAUAAACAAAUCCUAACAACAGUUCAUUUAAACUAUUGUUAACGAUUCCAAUGGCGUUGUUUUACUAGAUAUACCCAUCGCAAACUCAGUAUCAUUUCCCACAUCCGGCGCUUGAUCAACAUUUUUUGGUCUAUUAUAUGCCGACUAGGCAGUCGGCCCAAGGUUAUAACUUACCAUUGCAGGCUGAUGCCUCCUAUGCUGUUUCUGCCCCUCCUAAUCAUCAAGUCCCACUGCCUUAUUGUUUGAUCGCUGCACCGCAGGCUGUCCAAUCCACCACAAACACUGAAGCAUCAGCAGGCGUGUAUAGAUCUUAAGAAAUUAUGUUUUUAGAUUUACAUUUCGAGUUUUACAGAUGACGAUACGAGGAACUCUGCUCUUGCUGAGGAAAUGGCUGCUCAUUCUUAAUGUUUUUGUUAUGGGCGAAGAGGUAGGAGAAUACCAAUGUGCAUAAAAGGUAAGAUUUUUAUGCUUCUAAGUUCUCUUAGAUUCUACACAUCAAAUAACUAAAUGUGGCAAAACGGGCAGGUCAACGAGUUUGGUAACACUGUAGCGGGUCGACAUUAGUAAUUUGUUGCUCGUUAAAAUGAGUUGGGUCGACCCAAAACGAUCUCUCAUUUUUUUAGGUCUUUAACUUAUUUAUUCAGUGUCUUAAAUAUGACUAUAAGAAGUAUGUUAUUUCAAUAGAUUUCUCAUUUCUAUAUUCUUGAUAUAAUGAUUGGGGAGGUUUUAUGCAAUAAAAAUACAUGAUGGCGACUUCGAAUCGGUUAUACAUAUUCAACAUGUUUUCCUUUUAUUGCUUUUGUUUUUAGUUUGAGUUGUUAGAGAAAAAGAUAACCCAAAUCGCCCUCUUUCAUAAAGCAUAGCCAAAUCAACCUAUUUAUAAGUAAACGGGUCGAAGUUUUGACCUCUUUAAGUUUUUAUGCACAUUACAUCUAGAUUGGCACCGUAGGAACAACCAAGUGUAUCAUUUGUAAGCCAAUUUAUGAGUUUCGUUUCUUCUUGAUUUAAAUUUCAUGAAUUCUAUCAUGAAAGGUUUGACAUUUGUAAAAGUUUGAUACUUUUGUUGCAGCAAAAAUGUCCA